rnacentral:rRNA from 1 species
GAUGAACGCUGGCGGCGUGCCUAAUACAUGCAAGUCGAGCGAACAGACGCGGAGCUUGCUCCUCUGACGUUAGCGGCGGACGGGUGAGUAACACGUGGAUAACCUACCUAUAAGUCUGGGAUAACUUCGGGAAACCGGCGCUAAUACCGGAUAAUAUAUUGAACCGCAUGGUUCAAUAGUAAAAGACGGUUUUGCUGUCACUUAUAGAUGGUUCCGCGCCGCAUUAGCUAGUUGGUAAGGUAACGGCUUACCAAGGCAACGAUGCGUAUCCGACCGGAGAGGGGGAUCGGCCACACGGGAACUUAGACACCGUCCAGACUACUACGGGAGGCAGCAGUAGGGAAUCUGCCGCAAUGGGCGAAAGCUUUACGGAGCAACGGCGCGUGAGUGAUAAAGGUCUUCGGAGCGUAAAACUCUGUUAUUAGGGAAGAACAAAUGUGUAAGUAACUAUGCACUGCUUGACGGUACCUAAUCAGAAAGCCACGGCUAACUACGUG